rnacentral:rRNA from 1 species
ACGCUCGACACCUACGGGGGGCAGCAGUGGGGGAAUAUUGCACAAUGGGGGAAACCCUGAUGCAGCGACGCCGCGUGAGCGAAGAAGUAUUUCGGUAUGUAAAGCUCUAUCAGCAGGGAAGAAACUGACGGUACCUGACCAAGAAGCACCGGCUAAAUACGUGCCAGCAGCCACGGUAAUCGUGAGGCGGGCGUGGCAAGGC